GACGAACGCUGGCGGCGUGCUUAACACAUGCAAGUCGAGCGGAGCGGCGAACGGGGGAGUAACGCGUGUGUAACUGCCCACCCCUCUGGGCUAACCGAUGGAAAAGGCUGCUAAUACCGGAUAGUGGGGGAUGACUCGCGUCCUAUGAGCUUGUUGGGGGGGUAGUGGCCUACCAAGGCGACGACGGGUAGCCGGCCUUAGAGGGCGCCCGGCCACAUUGGGCUGAGAUACUGCCCAAACUCCUACGGGAGGCAGCAGUGGGGAAUAUUGCACAAUGGGGGAAACCCUGAUGCAGCAACGCGCGUGCGGGAUGACGGCCUUCGGGUUGUAACCCGCUUUCAGCCAUGACGCGGUAGUGGCAGAAGAAGCACCGGCUAACUACGUGCCAGCAGCCGCGGUAAUUC
rnacentral:rRNA from 1 species